ACGCGAUUGGUGUAGGGGCAACAUUUCAGCUUGCCAUUAAUCAGUUCGUCUGGUUGUAACUUGUUGGAGCCCCGGGUUCAAUUCCCGGAUCGCGUA